rnacentral:rRNA from 1 species
GACGAACGCUGGCGGCGUGCCUAAUACAUGCAAGUCGAACGCUGAAGGAGGAGCUUGCUUCUCUGGAUGAGUUGCGAACGGGUGAGUAACGCGUAGGUAACCUGCCUGGUAGUGGGGGAUAACUAUUGGAAACGAUAGCUAAUACCGCAUAAUAGCAGUUGUUGCAUGAUAACUGUUUGAAAGGUGCAAUUGCACCGCUACCAGAUGGACCUGCGUUGUAUUAGCUAGUUGGUGGGGUAACGGCUCACCAAGGCGACGAUACAUAGCCGACCUGAGAGGGUGAUCGGCCACACUGGGACUGAGACACGGCCCAGACUCCUACGGGAGGCAGCAGUAGGGAAUCUUCGGCAAUGGACGGAAGUCUGACCGAGCAACGCCGCGUGAGUGAAGAAGGUUUUCGGAUCGUAAAGCUCUGUUGUAAGAGAAGAACGAGUGUGAGAGUGGAAAGUUCACACUGUGACGGUAGCUUACCAGAAAGGGACGGCUAACUACGUG